rnacentral:rRNA from 1 species
AACGAACGCUGGCGGCAGGCUUAACACAUGCAAGUCGAACGCUGUAGCAAUACAGAGUGGCGCACGGGUGAGUAAUACUUGGGAAUAUGCCUUUUAGUUGGGAAUAACCACUGGAAACGGUGGCUAAUACCCGAUACGCCCUCCGGGGGAAAGAUUUAUCGCUAAAAGAUUAGCCCAGGCCAGAUUAUGGUAGUUGGUGAGGUAAUGGCUCACCAAGCCUACGAUCUGUAGCUGGUCUGAGAGGACGACCAGCCACACUGGAACUGAGACACGGUCCAGACUCCUACGGGAGGCAGCAGUGGGGAAUAUUGGACAAUGGGCGAAAGCCUGAUCCAGCCAUGCCGCGUGAGUGAUGAAGGCCUUAGGGUUGUAAGCUCUUUGUCUAGGGAAGAUGAUGACGGUACCCGCCGAAUAAGCUCCGGCUAACUUCGUGCCAGCAGCCGCGGUAAU